rnacentral:snRNA from 1 species
GUGCUCCCUUUGGUAGCACAUGCAAAUCAGAACGGUGCAGGGAGGAUUAGCGCUGCCCCUGCACAAGGAUAUCAUGCGAAAGAUUCUACUUUCUCUU